ensembl:snRNA U6 U6 spliceosomal RNA
UUCCUUUGCACUUGCUUUGGCAGGAUAUAUACUAAAAUUGGAACAAUACAGAUGAUUUAACACAGCCCCUGAUCAAGGGUGACAUGAAAAUUCAUGAAGCAGGCUAAAUUUAA